rnacentral:rRNA from 1 species
UACGUAGGGGGCAAGCGUUGUCCGGAAUCAUUGGGCGUAAAGCGCGUGUAGGCGGCCCGAUAAGUCCGCUGUGAAAGUCGGGGGCUCAACCCUCGAAAGCCGGUGGAUACUGUCGGGCUAGAGUGCGGAAGAGGCGAGUGGAACUCCUGGUGUAGCGGUGAAAUGCGCAGAUAUCAGGAGGAACACCAAUUGCGAAGGCAGCUCGCUGGGACGUUACUGACGCUGAGACGCGAAAGCGUGGGGAGCGAACAGG